rnacentral:misc_RNA from 1 species
GAUGCUGGAUUUCCAAAACUAAUAGCACAUGACGUACAAGUCUGUCAAUUGUGAAAGGGGGCAAAAUGAACAAAUUGUGGCAUCAAUGUAGAUCAGUAAGUAACAAACUCCAACUAAGGUUUUAUUUGACCAGGUCAAGUUUUGUAUCAAAGAAGUUGAACCAUGCACCAAGAAGCAAACCUUGAUAUGACUGGCAUUGGUCAUGGGAAAGUCAUUGAUCCCUGAAGGACACAUAAAAGA